UGCGCAGCGCGGCCGCGCAGGUGGCGGGCGCAGGCGCAGAGCUCAGCGCGCGUUGGGAGGCUGUGUCUGAACAGCUGCUGUCACUUCGGUGAGGCCGCCACAUGUCAGCGCAAGGGUGUGCCUGUGGAACUGGGUGCCCUUGGAGGCCUGAAGAGGACAGCUGAUCAUGUUGGAGCUGGAAUUGUAUGCUCCCCGAUGUGGGUGCCGGUAACUGAACUUAGGUCCUCAGCAAGAACAGUACAGUGGUGUAGGCUAAACCAUCUCUCCAACCUCUGCAACUAAGUCUGUGUCCUUCAUAGAGGUUGGGUCACGGCAAACCACUUUCUGCCUGGAGUGCUGUCUCUGCCGUGUACCCUCUGUAGGAAGUCUCAUGUCUACUCUAGAGUCUCCUUGACCUAGGUCAGGAUCACCUGUCCUGCACCCAAGAUAACACUACAAGAAGGAAUGAUGGCAAUAUAUUGCUGGACAAGAGAGAGCCAUAAAUCGAUGGAUUUAGCAGAGUUCCUUUGGUGGGAAUGUCAGCCAAAACUGAGUGUGGCUGGAUGAAAGAUGUGGCCUUUGGAAAGGUGAAAGAAGGCAUGAGCAUCAUGGAAGCCAUCCAGCAUUUUGGGUCCAGGAAUGGCAAGUCCAGUAAGAAGAUAACCAUUUCCAACUGUGGACAACUCUAAUUCUUUUGACUUUCAGGCAUCUUACACACCAGACCACUCUUUCUGUAGCACAGGAGAGUCCCCCACACUAUCUGCUUGAAAUACCCGGUGAUCUCCACUCUCAUUGAAGUUCUUUGGGUUCCCCUCCAAGCCUAUCUGGUUUGCAGAGUGAAGUUUAUGAUUAUGAAUAAAAACUAAAAAGGAAAAAAGGGAAAUAAAGGCUAGUAAAUGGCUACAAAAAGGCCCAAGAUGCCCCAAGGUAAUUUUAUCUUGGAAUCUAUAACAUUUGAUCUCUCACACCAUGUUCUAGUCAAGCAAUGGCAGAACUUUCAGUAUAGACAGAAAUUUAAGGGAUUUCAGCUCACAAUCCCUUGAUUGUAAGGUGCUGUCUGUGCAGGUGAACUUGCAAAACUCCUGAUUUCACAUCUGUGCUGAGUUAUUUGCCAUUAAAUAGUCCAGUUGUUCACAGA